UGAAAUUGACAUGGGCUGGCACAUGGGCGUGUGGCCAGCCCGUGUGGCUCACAUGGUUGUGUGUCCAGCCCGUGUGGAUCCUG
rnacentral:pre_miRNA from 1 species